rnacentral:rRNA from 1 species
UACGUAGGGUGCGAGCGUUAAUCGGAAUUACUGGGCGUAAAGCGUGCGCAGGCGGUCUGUUAAGACCGAUGUGAAAUCCCCGGGCUUAACCUGGGAACUGCAUUGGUGACUGGCAGGCUUUGAGUGUGGCAGAGGGAGGUAGAAUUCCACGUGUAGCAGUGAAAUGCGUAGAGAUGUGGAGGAACACCGAUGGCGAAGGCAGCCCCCUGGGCUGAGAUUGACGCUCAGGCACGAAAGCUAGGGGAGCAAACGGG